CCUACGGGAGGCAGCAGUAAGGAAUAUUGGUCAAUGGACGCAAGUCUGAACCAGCCAUGCCGCGUGCAGGAUGAAGGCCCUCUGGGUUGUAAACUGCUUUUAUAGGGGACGAAAAAGGGACUUUCUAGUUCAACUGACGGUACCCUAGGAAUAAGCACCGGCUAACUCCGUGCCAGCAGCCGCGGUAAUACGGAGGGUGCAAGCGUUAUCCGGAUUUACUGGGUUUAAAGGGUGCGUAGGUGGGUCGGUAAGUCAGCGGUGAAAUCUUCGAGCUUAACUCGGAAACUGCCAUUGAUACUAUCGAUCUUGAAUCAUCUAGAGGUAAGCGGAAUAUGUCAUGUAGCGGUGAAAUGCUUAGAUAUGACAUAGAACACCAAUUGCGAAGGCAGCUUACUAUGGAUGUAUUGACACUGAGGCACGAAAGCGUGGGGAUCAAACAGGAUUAGAUACCCUGGUAGUCCACGCCCUAAACGAUGGAUACUCGACAUCAGCGAUACACUGUUGGUGUCUGAGCGAAAGCAUUAAGUAUCCCCNCCUGGAGUACGAGCGCGAGAGUAGUAAACGUACGAAAGAAAGUUAGUACGGCGUGAGACGUUAGGCCGACGGACGACGACGAGGGGAGGUAGGG
rnacentral:rRNA from 1 species